GACAAACGCUGGCGGCGUGCUUAACACAUGCAAGUCGUACGGUAAGGCCCUUUCGUGGGUACACGAGUGGCGAACGGGUGAGUAACACUUGAGUAACCUGCCCACAACUUUGGGAUAACGCUAGGAAACUGGUGCUAAUACUGGAUAUGUGCUCCUUCUGCAUGGUGGGGGUUGGAAAGCUCCGGCGGUUGUGGAUGGACUCUCGGCCUAUCAGCUUGUUGGUGGGGUAGUGUCCUACCAAGGCGGCUACGGGUAGCCGGCCUGAGAGGGUGACCGGCCACAUUGGGACUGAGAUACGGCCCAGACUCCUACGGGAGGCAGCAGUGGGGAAUAUUGCACAAUGGGCGCAAGCCUGAUGCAGCAACGCCGCGUGCGGGAUGACGGCCUUCGGGUUGUAAACCGCUUUCAGCAGGGACGAAGCUUUUUGUGACGGUACCUGCAGAAGAAGCACCGGCUAACUACGUG
rnacentral:rRNA from 1 species